CCAUGAACUAUUGAUAAAUGUCCGAUCUAGUCCUUCGUUACUAUUUUUCCUUCUUCUUCUUUUUUUCGAAAGUUCAGGGACUAGAUCGAACAUUUAUCAAUAGUUCAUGGACC
rnacentral:pre_miRNA from 1 species